UACAGAGGGUGCGAGCGUUAAUCGGAAUUACUGGGCGUAAAGGGCGUGUAGGUGGUUGGAUAAGUUGGUUGUGAAAUCCCUGGGCUUAACCUAGGAAUGGCAAUCAAUACUGUUUAACUAGAGUACGGUAGAGGGUAGUGGAAUUUCCGGUGUAGCGGUGAAAUGCGUAGAGAUCGGAAGGAACACCAGUGGCGAAGGCGGCUACCUGGACUGAUACUGACACUGAGGCGCGAGAGCGUGGGGAGCAAACAGG
rnacentral:rRNA from 1 species